UUAUUGUGAUUAUAUGGCAGGCAUAUUGUUGAAUAUUAAUGGAAAUGCUUAUACCGUGUUAAAACAUGAUCGUGUCGUUAUGGACGAAAUUUUUAUACCUAUGUGUUUACUCAGUACUUACGAAAACCAUUUAUGAAAAACUAAAGGAAGCCCCGACGGACAUAUACAGAUGGUGGUGUGAUUUAAAAGAUUGUUUUGACGAUUAGGAACCGUAUUAGGAUGCUAACUGUUUAUUUAUAAACUCAUUUGCUUUAUAUUUAAGAUUUAUUGCCUUAUCACUUAUAAAUAAGAUGUUUAAUUGUUAAUAAAUGUAUUGGUUGUAAAAGAGGUGCUGUAAUAAAAGUGUAUAGCCAAUAUAUUACUGAAUCAUAAAAAAUGUAUAGGUUGAGUAACGAUGCAACAUAAAAUCAUACAUAUUUAUGAAUCUAUUUUUUGAUUGAAUAUGUAAACGGGCUUAUUGUAAAUAUACUACUCAUAAUUAUAAAUACUU